AAUAAUUUUAAGCAGAUAAAAAUAAUAUAUUAUAUACAUUAUUGGUAUAUAGAUGAUACGGUUAGGGAGCUGACGAGCAUAUCGAUGUGUGAUUUGUUCAUGUAUUAUAUACGAUAACCAUUAAAAGUCAUCAAUAUCAAAGUAUUUAGGCCAAUUAUUUGUAUUGAUAUGUCGCGGCAAUUAUAAGUUAGUGCUUCAAAUUUGUAAAAAAAAAAUAUGGUAGGAUUUUUUUUGUUCAUGUCUGCCUCUCAUCCCUGAUGGUUAAUAUCGUUUGGAGCUUCUUUCACCACGUUGUUCCAAUGCUGGUUGGUGGAAUACACAUGUAGCAGAAUUUCAGUGAAAUUAGACACAUGCAGGUUUCCUCACGAUGUUUUCCUUCACCGUAAAGCACGAGAUGAAUUAUAAUCACAAAUUGAGCACAUGAAAAUUCAGUGGUGCUUGCCCGGGUUUGAACCCACGAUCAUCGGUUAAGAUUCACGCGUUCUUACCACUGGCCCAUCUCGG